rnacentral:pre_miRNA from 1 species
AAAAGAUGAUGAUGGUGGUGGUGGUGGUGGUGGUGGUGGUAGUGAUGAUAGUCAUCAUCAUCGUCAUCGUCAUCAUCGUCAUCAUCAUCAUCAUCU